UGGGGAAUAUUGCACAAUGGGCGCAAGCCUGAUGCAGCCAUGCCGCGUGUGUGAAGAAGGCCUUCGGGUUGUAAAGCACUUUCAGCGGGGCGGAAGGCGUUAAGGUUAAUAACCUUGGCGAUUGACGUUACCCGCAGAAGAAGCACCGGCUAACUCCGUGCCAGCAGCCGCGGUAAUACGGAGGGUGCAAGCGUUAAUCGGAAUUACUGGGCGUAAAGCGCACGCAGGCGGUCUGUCAAGUCGGAUGUGAAAUCCCCGGGCUCAACCUGGGAACUGCAUUCGAAACUGGCAGGCUAGAGUCUUGUAGAGGGGGGUAGAAUUCCAGGUGUAGCGAUGAAAUGCGUAGAGAUCUGGAGGAAUACCGGUGGCGAAGGCGGCCCCCUGGACAAAGACUGACGCUCAGGUGCGAAAGCGUGGGGAGCAAACAGG
rnacentral:rRNA from 1 species